rnacentral:rRNA from 1 species
CGCCUGCUACUUAAACAACAGGUAGAAUCUGCCCAAUGAUUUAAUGGCCGCAGUAUCCUGACUGUGCUAAGGUAGCAUAAUAAUUUGCCUCGUAAUUGGAGGCUAGAAUGAAGGAUCUGACGUAAUGUUUAAGUCUUAAAUCAAGCGAAGGGACGACAAGACCCUAAAAGCUUUUUUUAAUUUAGCUGGGGCGGCUGUAACAAAUAAUAUACUCACAUAUUUAAUGAAAGUUACUUUAGGGAUAACAGCGCAAUAUCCCAAUAGAGCCCCUAUCGACUGGGAUGAUUGCGACCUCGAUGUUGAAUUGAGGGAGUCUGUUCGACUCUUAACCUCU